rnacentral:rRNA from 1 species
CAAUAGCGUAUACGCUCGUUGUUGCAGUUAAAAAGCUCGUAGUCGGAUUUCUGCUUUAACUCGUACAUCCACCGUAUGGUGCGUAUGCACGUAGUUUGGGCAUACUCCUGGGGAACAGCUCUGCACUUCACUGUGUGGACUGGAAUCCAGGACCUUUACUUUGAGAAAAUUAGAGUGUUUCAAGCAAGCGUUCGCUUUGAAUACUGCAGCAUGGGAUAAUAUUAUAGGACGUUGGUUCUAUUUUGUUGGUUUCUAGAAUUAACGUAAUGAUCAAUGCGGACAGUUGGGGGCAUUUCUACUUCCGGUUCAGAGGUGAAAUUCUUGGAUCCCGGAAUGAGAAACUACUGCGAAAGCAUCUGCCAAGGAUGUUCNGCUCGA